AACGAACGCUGGCGGCAUGCCUAACACAUGCAAGUCGAACGAGACCUUCGGGUCUAGUGGCGCACGGGUGCGUAACGCGUGGGAAUCUGCCCUUGGGUUCGGAAUAACAGUUGGAAACGACUGCUAAUACCGGAUGAUGUCUUCGGACCAAAGAUUUAUCGCCCAGGGAUGAGCCCGCGUAAGAUUAGCUAGUUGGUGGGGUAAAGGCCUACCAAGGCGACGAUCUUUAGCUGGUCUGAGAGGAUGAUCAGCCACACUGGGACUGAGACACGGCCCAGACUCCUACGGGAGGCAGCAGUGGGGAAUAUUGGACAAUGGGCGAAAGCCUGAUCCAGCAAUGCCGCGUGAGUGAUGAAGGCCUUAGGGUUGUAAAGCUCUUUUACCCGGGAUGAUAAUGACAGUACCGGGAGAAUAAGCCCCGGCUAACUCCGUGCCAGCAGCCGCGGUAAUACGGAGGGGGCUAGCGUUGUUCGGAAUUACUGGGCGUAAAGCGCGCGUAGGCGGCUCUUCAAGUCAGAGGUGAAAGCCCGGUGCUCAACACCGGAAUUGCCUUUGAAACUAGGGAACUUGAAUCCAGGAGAGGUGAGUGGAAUUCCGAGUGUAGAGGUGAAAUUCGUAGAUAUUCGGAAGAACACCAGUGGCGAAGGCGGCUCACUGGACUGGUAUUGACGCUGAGG
rnacentral:rRNA from 1 species